CCUACGGGAGACAGCAGUGGGGAAUAUUGCACAAUGGGGGAAACCCUGAUGCAGCGACGCCGCGUGAGUGAAGAAGUAUUUCGGUAUGUAAAGCUCUAUCAGCAGGGAAGAAGAAAGACGGUACCUGACUAAGAAGCCCCGGCUAACUACGUGCCAGCAGCCGCGGUAAUACGUAGGGGGCAAGCGUUAUCCGGAUUUACGGGGAGUAAAGGGAGCGUAGACGGCUGUGCAAGUCUGAAGUGAAAGCCCAGGGCUCAACCCUGGGACUGCUUUGGAAACUGUGGAGCUAGAGUGCUGGAGAGGUAAGUGGAAUUCCUAGUGUAGCGGUGAAAUGCGUAGAUAUUAGGAGGAACACCAGUGGCGAAGGCGACUUACUGGACAGUAACUGACGUUGAGGCUCGAAAGCGUGGGGAGCAAACAGGAUUAGAUACCCCUGUAGUC
rnacentral:rRNA from 1 species